CAAAGGUGGUGAUUUAUAACUUAUGUCAGCCUUUCGAUUUAUGUGGCGGAUAGUUCUUACUGAUCAGCAUCGGCUUAGUGAUGUUGACUAAUGGCUUUUGCAGUCGCACAAUGGGUGCUUUUAUUGGCUUACGGCAAUUCGGGAAAUACAGAUCUGUUCCAAAACACUUUUGGUUCUACUAUUUACUCUAUUUCCGGAAAAUUUUUGUCAACAACUGUAGGUGAUACAGGGUGUUUUAUCGAAAAGCGGCAGAAUCAAUGAAGUGAAAAAUUAAUUGUAUAUAUUUACCAGCAUUAUGCCAGGCAAAAGGAAUAAAGCCCAACAGUCCAAAACAAGUCAGGUGAAAAGACCACGUCGUGCACAGAACGGAACUGGAGAGUCCACUACCAAUGAUGCUGUGGCUGUCGAUACAAGCACUCAACCCCUUGAUGUUCCUCCUGAAACCUUGGCUGCAUUAACCCAAACCAUAACAAAGGCAGUCACGGAGAAGGUGUUAGCAGAGAUAAAACCAUUACUGCAACAUCAGGGGAGUAUCUCUGUUCAUAAUAUGG